UACGUAGGGUGCAAGCGUUGUCCGGAAUUAUUGGGCGUAAAGAGCUCGUAGGCGGUUCGUCGCGUCGGCUGUGAAAACCCGAGGCUCAACCUCGGGCCUGCAGUCGAUACGGGCGGACUGGAGUUCGGCAGGGGAGACUGGAAUUCCUGGUGUAGCGGUGAAAUGCGCAGAUAUCAGGAGGAACACCGGUGGCGAAGGCGGUUCUCUGGGCAUUACCUGACGCUGAGGAGCGAAAGUGUGGGGAGCGAACAGG
rnacentral:rRNA from 1 species